ensembl:snRNA U6 U6 spliceosomal RNA
GUGCUCACUUCAGCAGCACCUAUACCUAAAAAUUGGAACAAUACAGAGAAGAUUAGUAUGGCCCCAGCACAAGGCUGACACGUAAAUUUGUGAAGCAGCCCACAUUUUA